AAUUUUUCUAUUUAUGUGCUUGUCACUGUAUAUUCACUGAACUUUGCCUUAUGCAAAUUUUCGCCUAUCUUCUGUCGUGUUAAAGAUAUUUAGGUUCGAUUCGAUGCAAGCGAUGUUUUCUACGUAUGUAAAUCUUAUGGUACAAAUACGAUAUUAUGGUCACCAUCACGUUAUACUUCUCUUAUCCGAAUUUUACAACAAAUUAACAUUCUUUUCGAAUCCAAACGUAGUUGUUUUCCCUGAAACGUCAGGUUCUGUCAAAAUGUUUAUUUUUGUCGAAUUAUAUAACGCGUUAAAUAAGGCUUUCCGUGACAGAGUAACUGGCCGUUUUACAAAAUCAUUAUCUUUGUUCCUGUUUGUAUUUCGCUCAUAUUUACACGUAGUAUAAACUCAGUUCCAUAAAUCUUGCUAAGAUAUUUAAUCAAUUUAUCAUUGUUAUAGCGGUCGACACGUCUCUUCGGAUAAAUUAACUGGCAUAUGUCGGUGAAUUCUAUUUUGAAUCGUAGGUACGUGCUGUAUGCAAUACAGUUAGUAAUUCACUUGUUCCUAAGACUGACGUACGUUUGCUGGGUCACCUUUUGCAUGUAAGCGUAGUGUGUUGACGCGCACGUAUAUUUGCAUAUGUAUCGCGUGUAACAACGAAAUAAGUAUUUCUUUUAAUAUCCAUUUUAAAAGAUUCAAAUUGUUUCCAAUUUCUGUUUCAACGAAUACCAGAAACUAUAAACUAAAGAGUUUCAAAUAGCCGUAGCACGCGGCUCGUCGAGUUAGCGAUUAACCUGACUAACUCGAAAAUCUUUUCGCGCAUGACAAUCAUCGCUUAGGAUCUGUAUAACACAGAUACGACGAAAGUUACACCGACACGGCGUCACGUCGCCGCAAGAUGAUGCAUAUGCGUGCCCGUGUAUCUAGAGACCAGCACAGUGGUUCGCGCCGCGUAUAGACCAGCUCUGGCUGCUGGCAAGUCUUCAUCAACGUAACCAUUCGUUUCGCUCCUUUAACGCACACGCACGUACAUACAUACGUGGCGUACUUUUGCAACAGUGUGCAAAAGUUACAAGAGCUACUCAUCAUUGGCUAUUGCACGAAACAGAAAAGUAAAGAGAAAAUCCGAAUAAGCGAACUCGUUGGUACAGUCUGACAAGAAAGUCGCGGUCAAUUCUAAUUUUGUCAAUGACGCUUGGCUAGACAAGAACUCCGAAACAUAGCGGACAACUGUGACGAUUUUGCGGAAAACUACACGAAUUCUUAAUUCUUCGGUGUAACUGGAGAAUGACUGGACCGAAGCUUUAGAAUAUUUCGUGAAAUUUCUGUAAUUACGCGAAGGAAGACAGAGACUGUUUUAAUUAUACAUUUCAUAGAAAUAAUAUCAUAAGCCAUGAUUUUCUAAUUUUGAUACUGUCAGCUUACUUAAGUACUGGCAUCUUCUAUUCUCUUCAUAUGGAAUUAAACUCCUCGAAUUGUAAGGCUUACAAAAUAAAUUCUAUACGCUGAUUGAUACAAUGAUACUGAUGUAUAGCGAUACAUCUUGUUGAGAUUUACAAAUUUCGUGUCACGUUCCGGAACACGUUCCAUAACGCGGAAGGAGCCUACGGUGAUCGGUAAGAUGACGUUGCAUGUGAUACCCUAAUGAAAAUGGUAUAAACCGUGAACGAACGAGGAAAAUUAACCUCGUAGACAAGGAUAGGUGGAGUGUAAUCAUCUUGCAUGGUUGUAUUUGUUAGAUAAGGCGCUCAUUCGCGAAACAGCAACGCUUCACCUCCCAGGAAACUUGCUGACAUGAAAAUUAUCGCCAUAAAUAGAAGAAAAAUAAUUAUGGAAAUAAGCGCUUCUAGGUUGAUCUAUCUAUAUCCUAUGCUAUUUUACAAUACCAUGUAUAUCUUUAUAAUUUGCUAAAACAUUUUACAUAAAUCAAUUGAUACAACUUUUUGGAGUAGUUGAAAUAUCAAAGCAGAAAUUUUCCCCA